AUUUGAACAACCCCUGCAUCUCCCUCGCCCCGCUCCCCUCUCUCUAGCGCCUCCCUGCCCUCGGGCACGACCAACCCUUUUCGGCGGCGCAGCUCCGCCCUUGGCUCUCCUGCGCGCAGCUCGGCGUGGCGUGGCCCGGCUCCGGCGAGCGGUCGAAGAAACCCGGACGCCAAGCACCUUCCCCACCGGAGCUUCGCUGACCUGCUGUCCAUGUUUUCCCUCGCCGUUCUUCAUCGUGAUGGUCUGGUGAGUUCGUGCAUGCGCAGCAGACGAGGGAGAAGAGAAUUGUGAAGGAGUGAGCAGUUGGUGGAGAGAAAGGAGAUGCUAGCCACACCAGAUCCCACAUCUAAAGAUUUUCUGUGGCUGCACCUCGUGUGACCCUUUUUGUGACUGUGAUCCGUUUCCGAGCUUCGAGGGAUCGAUGAUCAAGCUUGGCGACCAAGUGAUCGAACUCUUCGAGUUCUACGAGGAUGAA
rnacentral:lncRNA from 1 species